CCGGCACGGGGUGAGGGCUCUUCGGACACGAUCGCACUUACCGCUCCGGACAACCCAGCAAAUAGGGAUUAUUCGCUCUUUUUGUAUAAACAGCAAAUUGAAGAUUAAGCAAGUCGCGCAAGGUCGUGCUGCUGCAAGGUGGCAGAGCAGAAUCGGAACCCAGAGCCAAAUCGGAACCCAGAACCAGCUGCAGAGUCCCCCUGAAGUUUCGGCCGACACCCACCAGUCAUCCUGCCCCAUACUCGGGUGAUGCCCACUCCAGCCACCCCAGGACCCACUACCAGAGGGAGUUGUGCCCGGUGCUCACCUGCUCACAGCAGAGGGUUCUAAAUCUGCAGCUCAGAUUUCCAGACUCCAGAACGGAAGAGAAUACAUUUCCGUUGUUUUAAGCUCCCCAGUUCGUGGGAACUAAUAUGUAAGCUGCCCAGCCACAGGAAACUAACAUCCAACAAGGAAAGGAGUCGUCCCCUCCCUGUCGAGCCCUAAGAUGACGCUGCAGCCUCAGCUGAUUCCUUGACUGCAGCCUGUAACAUCUGUGGAGGACCCAGCUGAGCUGCACCUGGAUUCGCAACCCACAGAAACCGUGAGACGAUAAAUUACUCAGGAAGAAAACAUUGAAGUAUCUCUGCAUUCAAGUAGCAGUGAGGAAAAACUGGUCUUCUCCCUACUCCAGGCGGUUCUGCCCAGAGCACGGCAUCUUCCCGUCACUUCCUGCUCAAUCAA